GUACACACAAUCCACUCUAACCUAAGCGUUUGAUACAAAAAAUUCAAUGACAUGACAAUCUAGUCAUUAUGUUCUUCAUUGUUUACCUUCACUUAACGCGUCUAGGUAUAUCAUUAAAAGCAAAAACGUUUGGUACCUUAGAGGCAUAUAAAAUAACUGUUUAAAGGUUUGAUAUUACUUAAAACUAUGGUGCACUACUAAACUAAGGCUAGGUUGUACCAUCUUACUUUAAAGUUGACAAACGUCAGACAUCUGUCAAACUCCAUACAAAAAACACUGGUUAACUUUAAAGAUAGCUGGUGUAACUCAGCCUAAUACAUUUUUUUUCUUUCUUUCUUUCCACAGUCAUUACACAACUGUUUGCUGCCUCAAAGGAA